GGUUAAGUUAGAAAGGGCGCACGGUGGAUGCCUUGGCACUAGGAGCCGAAGAAGGACGGGACUAACACCGAUAUGCUUUGGGGAGCUGUACGUAAGCGUUGAUCCAGAGAUUUCCGAAUGGGGGAACCCACUAUCUUUAGUCGGAUAGUAUCCUUACGUGAAUACAUAGCGUGAGGAAGGCAGACCCAGGGAACUGAAACAUCUAAGUACCUGGAGGAAGAGAAAGAAAAAUCGAUUUCCUGAGUAGCGGCGAGCGAAACGGAAAGAGCCCAAACCAAGAAGCUUGCUUCUUGGGGUUGUAGGACACUCUAUACGGAGUUACAAAAGAAAGUUAUAAAUGAAGCGGUCUGGAAAGGCCCGCCAAAGACGGUAACAGCCCGGUAGUUGAAAUGGCUUUCCCUCCAGAGUGGAUCCUGAGUACGGCGGAACACGUGAAAUUCCGUCGGAAUCCGGGAGGACCAUCUCCCAAGGCUAAAUACUCCCUAGUGACCGAUAGUGAACCAGUACCGUGAGGGAAAGGUGAAAAGCACCCCGGAAGGGGAGUGAAACAGUUCCUGAAACCGUGUGCCUACAAGUAGUUAGAGCCCGUUAAUGGGUGAUAGCGUGCCUUUUGUAGAAUGAACCGGCGAGUUACGAUUUGUUGCAAGGUUAAGCGGAAAAAGCGGAGCCGUAGCGAAAGCGAGUCUGAAUAGGGCGCAUAAGUAACAGGUCGUAGACCCGAAACCAGGUGAUCUACCCAUGUCCAGGAUGAAGGUAAGGUAAUACUUACUGGAGGUCCGAACCCACGCACGUUGAAAAGUGCGGGGAUGAGGUGUGGGUAGCGGAGAAAUUCCAAUCGAACUUGGAGAUAGCUGGUUCUCUCCGAAAUAGCUUUAGGGCUAGCCUCGAGGUAAAGAGUCAUGGAGGUAGAGCACUGUUUGGACUAGGGGCCCUUCUCGGGUUACCGAAUUCAGAUAAACUCCGAAUGCCAUGUACUUAUACUCGGGAGUCAGACUGCGAGUGAUAAGAUCCGUAGUCGAAAGGGAAACAGCCCAGACCACCAGUUAAGGUCCCCAAAUAUAUGUUAAGUGGAAAAGGAUGUGGGGUUGCUUAGACAACCAGGAUGUUGGCUUAGAAGCAGCCACCAUUGAAAGAGUGCGUAAUAGCUCACUGGUCGAGUGACCCCGCGCCGAAAAUGUACCGGGGCUAAACAUAUUACCGAAACUGUGGAUGAACCUCUUUAGAGGUUCGUGGUAGGAGAGCGUUCUAAGGGCGGUGAAGUCAGACCGGAAGGACUGGUGGAGCGCUUAGAAGUGAGAAUGCCGGUAUGAGUAGCGAAAGAAGGGUGAGAAUCCCUUCCACCGAAUAUCUAAGGUUUCCUGAGGAAGGCUCGUCCGCU
rnacentral:rRNA from 1 species